GAAGUCGAAUUUAGAACCCCUACAGAAGUGAGUCCUGAGCUAAAACUUAAAGAGCCUAAUUAAUGUUUGAAGCCAGACAGAAGAGAAAGUGCUGACAUAGCCAAGGAGAAGCAAUUAGAGGAAUAAUUAGAAAUGCAACAGUGGGACCUGCCAGCGAGUCUGAAAAAUGUAUUCACCAAGUAUUGUUCAACUUCCUCCAAAGCCACAGAGUUUCUGAAAGAUUUCUGUUAGAGUUCUAAAAGAGGCCUUUGCAGGGUUGUAUUUCACUCCUUCCUGUUGUCGCUGUUAUUCUAGAAAGGUCCAAAAUAACGAAAGGAGCUUUCAUGGCAUGAACGUGGGUAGUUUUAGAAAUAGAUCCAGACCCCUGAUUUUUCUGCCAGUACUCUCUACACUGAAGAACUUCUGCGUUUCCAGCACACUGACUUUCUGCUCAGGUUCAAAUCAUUAGUGUUGAUCUCAGCCUAUGUCAGAGAAGAUUGUUUUUACACUGGGUGAUGCCUGAAGCAGAAACUCAUAACCCAACAAAGUGCUGAAGCAGGUUGCUUUUGAGAGUGGAGAGGUGGACAGGUCUGGAACAUCACUGGCUUUACAAAAAUGUGACCUAUCAUGUAUAGACUAUACAAUCAAAAAAGCUCAGAAUUAAUACCUGAAAUAUCCUCGCAUAUGAAACACUUGGAUUUCCACACAGACAAAAAGUGAACAAGAGUGAGGAUGUCACAGAUCUUUCAGGGGAUAAAGUGUCCAUUUGCUGAGUCAAACAGGAAAGGUAGUGUGAUAGCAUGAAUCCAGGCCAAAAGGGGGGAAAAAUCACAAAGGUGACAGAGACUACAGAAGAAAUCUCUCAAGAAGACUCUCAAAAUAUUUCAACAGAAAUCUUACCGAAGUUAUGAAAGAAAAUGACUACCAGUGAAGAAACUUCAGAAAUGAAAGAGAAACAAAGAAUCUUCAAGGCAAGUAAAACCCGAGGGAAUUCAUUAUCAGCAGAUUGCUCUUACAGAAGAUGCUCAGGAGUGCUCUACAUCUUGAACUGUAACACACAUAGCCAACAUCACAUGAACAAAUGGACGUAUAAAGCCCACUAGGAAUGCAGACCUGUAACUGCAUGUAGUCCUAACCCACAGAAAUAGAGGCAGAAGAAUUACAAGUUUGAUCCUGGCUCCAGGGCAAGAUCAAGAAGAGGAAAACAAUGAGGAGGAGCAGGAUGAGGAAGACAGGACCAAGAGAACAAGGAGGAGGAGAUACUUAAAAAAGGAGGAAAAAUAGUGAUUAUUUAUUUAUCAUUUCAGAGCACCAUUACCACAACUGUAAUCAAUAAGAGAAAAGCAAACAAACAAAAAAAAGUUUGUAUUCCAAAUAGAAGAAAUUAACAACAUGGCAGGCAUGCUAUCUUUACAACUGAGUACUAACAUUCAAUAGAAUCAUAUUACAUUCUGUCACUUAAAAGACUGGAUUAAGAACAGGACCAAACAAUAUGCUGCCCACAAGAAACACAUUUGGUCAGUAAAAAACACACAUUAAAUCAAAGUGAAAUAUGGAAAAAUGAAACAGAAAGUAAGCAGGAGUGAGUUAUAUUGAUACCAGAAAGUAUGGCCUUUAAGAUAAAUUCUAUGUAAUUCUCAAGGAAUAACUUAAACUGUAAAAUGCAACAAUAAUAAAUGUAUA